UUGCCAUAUAUGGUCACUGAGAGCUACUGGCAGCGAGGCCCGGGUCCAGAUGGUGGGCUCCCAGAGUGCAAUGAGCUACAUACCAGCCCAGAACAAACAGACCAUCGCUCACUCGGCUGGACAGGGAAUGAAAAAAAUCCCAGGAGGAAUGUGGGGGAAGAGAUCUGCUGGCCGUCAUUUCCCUUCGUUGAUCCUCCCCUCUUCCCACCCGCUCUCCAACUUCUUUCCUCCCAGGUGAAGCCGGCCAGGUGCGGAUGAUCCCUGAGGCUGGACAGGAUUCAGUGGUGGCACAGCAGAAAAGAUACCCCGCUCCCAGAACCUGUCUUCGCAAGGUGUUGGAGGCUCGCCCUCCCCACCUGGCCCGACCAAGCAAGAGACGCUGCCCCAGCCUGUCUAGGGAACUGAAGGCAGCGAAAAUGGCAGCACAGGGAGCCAAUCCUGGAGAUCCCAACAGUCCCGAAUAUUGGUGAUCCCCAAAAGCCAUUA